GGAUGUGAUCAUACCAGCACUAAAGCACCGGAUCCCAUCAAAACUCCGAAGUUAAGCAUGCUUGGGCGAGAGUAGUACUAGGAUGGGUGACCUCCUGGGAAGUCCUCGUGUUGCAUUCC
rnacentral:rRNA from 1 species